GCUGGGCGUGGUGGUGCAUGCCUGUAAUCCCAGCUAUUUUGGGAGGCUGAGGCAGGAGAAUUGCUUGAACCUGGGAGGCAGAGGUUGCAGUGAGCUGAGAUCAUGCCACUGUACUCCAAGCUGGGUGAUAAAGUGAGACUCAAAAUACAUUAAGUAAAUAAAUAAAUUGAGACAGGGUCUCACUCUGUCAUUCAGGCUGGAGUGCAGUGGUGCGGACACAGCUCAUUGCAGCCUCGACUUCCUGGGCUCAAGCAAUCCUCCUGC
rnacentral:lncRNA from 10 species